UACGUAGGUGGCAAGCGUUGUCCGGAUUUACUGGGCGUAAAGCGUGCGCAGGCGGCUUUGCAAGACAGAUGUGAAAUCCCCGGGCUCAACCUGGGAACUGCAUUUGUGACUGCAUGGCUGGAGUGCGGCAGAGGGGGAUGGAAUUCCGCGUGUAGCAGUGAAAUGCGUAGAUAUGCGGAGGAACACCGAUGGCGAAGGCAAUCCCCUGGGCCUGCACUGACGCUCAUGCACGAAAGCGUGGGGAGCAAACAGG
rnacentral:rRNA from 1 species